rnacentral:lncRNA from 1 species
GUCAGAACAUAUUUGUGUUUACUGAAUGUAGAUUAGACAUACAGUUUCUGGUAUUGAGAAAAUUAUGGUUAAACUAGGCUAAAGAAUCUUACCUUUGGGAAAAUUGUUAAUCUGUGUGUUGCCACAACUGAAUGACUUUUCUUUCUUAAAGACCCAGAUUGAUCACUAUGUUGGCAUUGCCCGUGAUCAGACCAAGUCGAUUGUUGAAAAGAUCCAAGCAAAACUCCCUGGAAUCGCAAAAAAAAAGGCAGAAUAAGUACAUGGAAACCAGAAACGCAACAGUUACUAAAACACCAUUUAAUAGUUAUAACGUUGUUACUUGUACUAUGAAGGAACUUGCUCAGUGUCAGCUUGAGCCUGCAUUCCAAGCUUUUUAUUUUUUUAUUUGGUGUUUUCUCCUCUCCUUUCCCUCUACCCUCAGUAUCAAGCACAAGAAUUGUUGGACUUAAAAAAGAACUGAAAUCUUAGAAAACCCAAAAGAAUAAAGAAAGAGUCAAAUUAAUAGGAUAAAUCAGUACCUUAAUGAUGGUGGAGCUUUUACCUGUAACUUGAAAGGAGAGGGAAAAUUGGAGGUAAAGGAGAAAAUGAAAAAUAAAAACAUCUCUUGGGUUCUUUUAUCCAAAUUUCAAGGACUAGUCAGUCUUCUAUAGCUUCCCAUCAUAGUUUUGCCCUUAUUUUAAGUUAAGAAAUAAUGAUUAACUUAUGAAGAAAUUAUCUGGGGACAAGAAUGGGAUUCCUUCCCUUGUUCGUUGUUGUUUUGUUUUCCGGUCCUCUGAUCCCAUCUUCCUGCCCCACAACGUGAGCAGCUACUCCUAAUUUUCCUCUUCUUCAUUUAAUGAUAUAACUUUCAACUCUGUGAAUAACUUAUAGUUGAUAGUGAUGACUCCUGAUUCCCAGAAUACCAUCUGAUAACCAAGAAUGGAGAUGGAAGGUCGGACGGAGGAGUGCACAGGACCACUGCUGUGACUCCCGCGCAUCCUUAGGAAGGAAAGGCUCCGCAUGGGGAACAGUGGUGUCUGUGUCGUUUCUUCUGGACACCAGUU